GACGAACGCUGGCGGCGUGCUUAACACAUGCAAGUCGUACGGUAAGGCCCUUUCGGGGGUACACGAGUGGCGAACGGGUGAGUAACACGUGAGUAACCUGCCCACAACUUUGGGAUAACGCUAGGAAACUGGUGCUAAUACUGGAUAUGUGCUCCUGCUGCAUGGUGGGGGUUGGAAAGCUCCGGCGGUUGUGGAUGGACUCGCGGCCUAUCAGCUUGUUGGUGGGGUAGUGGCCUACCAAGGCGGCGACGGGUAGCCGGCAUGAGAGGGUGACCGGCCACAUAGCGAAAUGGAAACAGCCCAGACUCCUACGGGAGGCAGCAGUGGCGAAUAUUGCACAAUGGGCGCAAGCCAGAUGCAGCAACGCCGCGGGCGGGAUGACGGCCUUCGAGUUGUAAACCGAUUUCAGAAGGGCCGAAGCUUUUUGUGACGGUACCUGCAGAAGAAGCACCGGCUAACUACGUG
rnacentral:rRNA from 1 species